AUACUUAUCUGGCAGACUGAGAUACUAUGAUCAUAAAAAUGGUUUUCCCAGGUCAAGGCUUAUUCAUUGCACUCCAGAUGUGCUGAAAUCUGCAAUUUCCGUAAAGAUGAGAUACUCAACUGCAUAAUUUUAGAUACCGAGAGACUGUGUUUGCCCUCUCCCUUG